CUCCGACUCCUGCGCCUGUCCCCGCCUCCUUCACCCAGGCCCUGCUCGCCCCCAACACUCACGCCGUGGGCUCUUCUUCCGGCGGCGGCUCUUCAGGCCAUCGCAACAACCGACAGAAGAAAAGGAAGCAGAAUCCUUCCUCUGGCGCCAGCGGCUUCUCUUUAGGCGGGGGUCCCUCCGGUGGGUUUCCCGCGGGCGCGCGCCCUCCCACCACCGUGGCCGGCACCUUCCAGGGCAUCCUUGGAGCUCGCCCGCCCGCUCCGGCUGCGCCUCAGGCUCAUCACGCCACGACCGCGGCCACACCCUCACCACACUGGGACCAAGCCGCCCUCAUCGCUGCACUCAACCAGAUGGCUCUGCAUCCUCCUUCCGCGCCUGGUGGUGAAUGGGUCUUCGAUAGCGGCGCCUCGUCCCACAUGAGCUCCGGUUCCGGAUCUGGCCACCAAGACGGUGCUUCUCCGAUGUGACUCCCCCGGCGAUCUUUACACCUUCGCCCCGCCACGUCACUGCCUCACCGCCGCCGUCACCGCCGACUUGUGGCACCAGCGUCUCGGCCACCCCGGCGCCGCCGUCCUCGCCAAGGCCUCCGCUCAUUUCGAUUUUAGCUUCAAUAAAUCUUCGACGAGCAAUUGCGAUGCAUGUCGUUUAGGCAAACAUACAAGGCUCCCCUUUAGUUCUUCUUCUUCCCGCACCACUUUUCCUUUCGAACUUUGUCAUUGUGAUUUAUGGACAAGCCCUCUGUUAAGUGUAUCCGGAUAUCAAUUUUAUUUGGUCAUUCUUGAUGAUUUCACACAUUA